rnacentral:rRNA from 1 species
CCUACGGGAGGCAGCAGUGAGGAAUAUUGGUCAAUGGACGAGAGUCUGAACCAGCCAAGUAGCGUGAAGGAUGACUGCCCUAUGGGUUGUAAACUUCUUUUAUAUGGGAAUAAAAUGUUCCACGUGUGGGAUUUUGUAUGUACCAUAUGAAUAAGGAUCGGCUAACUCCGUGCCAGCAGCCGCGGUAAUACGGAGGAUCCGAGCGUUAUCCGGAUUUAUUGGGUUUAAAGGGAGCGUAGGUGGAUUGUUAAGUCAGUUGUGAAAGUUUGCGGCUCAACCGUAAAAUUGCAGUUGAAACUGGCAGUCUUGAGUACAGUAGAGGUGGGCGGAAUUCGUGGUAUAGCGGUGAAAUGCUUAGAUAUCACGAAGAACUCCGAUUGCGAAGGCAGUUCACUGGACUGCAACUGACACUGAGGCUCGAAAGUGUGGGUAUCAAACAGGAUUAGAUACCCCAGUAGUC